rnacentral:rRNA from 1 species
CCAAUAGCGUAUAUUAAAGUUGUUGCAGUUAAAAAGCUCGUAGUUGAAUUUCGAGAUCAAUAUGUUGGUCGUGCCUCGGUACGUACUUGCAUCAUUGAUUUCUCCCUUCUGAUGAACCAUGAUGCCAUUAAUUUGGUGUUAUGGGGAAUCAGGACUGUUACUUUGAAAAAAGUAGAGUGUUUAAAGCAGGCUCACGCUUGAAUACAUUAGCAUGGAAUAAUGAAAUAGGACGUUUGAUUCUAUUUUGUUGGUUUCUAGGAUCGACGUAAUGAUUAAUAGGGAUAGUUGGGGGCAUUAGUAUUCAAUUGUCAGAGGUGAAAUUCUUGGAUUUAUUGAAGACUAACUACUGCGAAAGCAUUUGCCAAGGAUGUUUUCAUUAAUCAAGAACGAAAGUUAGGGGAUCGAAGACGAUCAGAUACCGUCGUAGUCUUAACCAUAAACUAUGCCGACUAGGGAUCGGAUGAUGUUAAUUUUUUAAUGACUCAUUCGGCGCCUUACG